rnacentral:lncRNA from 1 species
AACACACACAUCACACACCACAGAUACCACACAACUCCUACCACACGCCACACAUCACACACCACAUACACAAUACACCGCAUAUCACACACCACAGACACCACACAACUCAUACCACACGCCACACAUCACACACCACAUACACAAUACACCACACACACAUCACACACCACAGACACCACACAACUCAUACCACACGCCACACAUCACACACCACAUACACAAUACACCACACACACCACACAACUCAUACCACACGCCACACAUCACACACCACCUGCAUCACACACCACACACACAACACACACAUCACACACCACAGAUACCACACAACUCAUACCACACGCCACACAUCACACACCACCUGCAUCACACACCACGCACACAACACACAUCACACACCACAGAUACCACACAACUCA